ACAACACCGUUCCCGCCAGCCAGUAACAAGGGGCGCUAGUGAUUGUGUACAAUACAGGAUGAAGCGGAAUGAGUGGGUCAUUAACUCCACAAAAUCACCUCAUUAUUAAGAAGGAGAGAUGGCCGAGGGGAGGCCGAAGAGGAUUAGAUCUGCAGAGCACAAGUUGAAAAAGAAGGGCUACGAUCAGAGCCGAGCCAAGACCCGCAUCAACAUCGGCGAAGCUUUUCAGCGGUGGAGAGACCUCCAGAAGUUGAAGGGCAUGAAGACGGACGCGGAGGUAGCCGCGUUUCUGCUUGAUAGUUAUCUCCGGACUAAGUCAGAGAGUCGACCUCAACGUUCGAGCCUGAAAAGGAGCUCUUCAACUGAAACCUGUGAAAGUGUGCACUGUGAAUACCCGUUUAUGAUGAGUUCCUCAAAUGACUCUGAGCAGGAAACUUGUGCCGAUCCUUUGGUCCAGUCGUCUAACAAUGGAAAGGUAACUGUGAUCCCUCGUGUAGAACACAAAGGAUUAGUCGACCCAUUUCUUAAUACUGAUAAAUAUGGCAAUCGAUGAAUAGCUUCAGUCACUUCUGAAAUCCAAAAAACAAAUCAAUUUUCAGCUUCUCUAAUGUGUAAACAUAUCGCUGUUCUCGGGCUUAAAUCAUUGCAAAUUGAACAUUUAUUCAGCUGUGGACGUAGCACUCUCGGAACUUGUAUUUUUCUGUGAGCUGAAUGUGUAAUUAUCAAUAUUUUGUUUUGUCUUUAUUGUAUUUCGUUAUUGUGUGGUGUGUAAAAUGUGGUGCACAGUAAACAUAAGAGGGUUGUCUGUAUCCACUGAGCUCUCUGCCGACUGGUUGCUGUUUCUUGUCUUAUCUUUAGGAGCUGCAGAAAAAAGAUGCUGCUUGUCAGAGACCAAAAAGUGAAGAUGAAUGGUCAGAAAAUAAAGAAAAUGGAGUUGAAGAAGAGGAGGAUGAAGAAUUCAGCACCUCGUUAAGUGUGGGAGACGGUCGCUUCCUGGUGGACUUGGGAAGCUCGUCAGAGUUCAUCGUGGAUGAAGAGUGCAUCCUCCAGCUGUUCAAGUUGUGCCGGCAGUGCAACGGAGAAUGCGCAGUGAGGAAACGCGUCAAAGGACUGAAGCUUGUCGUUUACCAGGCAUGCUGUUUCUGUCAGAGCCACAGCAAAUGGACCAACCUGCCGGAUGACGAUGAGAACAAAGACGAUGGUCAUUCCCAGAUCAAUGGGACAGACACAGAACAUGGACAGAACAUGGAGAUAUCACCGGGCAGCAACACCAGCUGAGAUAAUGCUUCUGUAAUGAAUCCAAGCGGGCUGCGGGUGCUCUGAAACCGGAACGUGUUUCAGCUGAACAUGUACAGCGGGUGAAGCAGCUGGACUUCUGCUGCUUUCUGUGGACUCUGGAAGCCAUCAGCACCUUCUCUGUAUAUUUCACUCAUUUCCUGAUGCUUCCACAAAUGCAGGCAGGAGUGUGGCGGCCUCAGAUUGUGACGGGCAGGUAAGAGAAGAUUUCCAGUGCUCAGUUAAGUUACUGUUGCAUUCUGUUCUACUGACCACAAGUACAUGCUUCAAACUCACCUGAGCUGCUGGAAUCGAUCACUUGAUUUGAAAACAGGCUGCACUGCCCGUGUGUCUGUUUCCACAAAGCCACACUAACCACAGUUAAAUAAACGGUUGUAGUGGCAAAAAAGUUGCUUUAAGAAAGAUGGUCUAUUCGUGUGUGUAUUUUUGGAAGGUUUUCUCAGUGAGUCUUUAAUCUUGUGAUUCUUUCCUAUCUUAGGGCAAAUUUCUAGUAUCACAUCACACAGCUGCUCAGACAAGGACUACUGUCUAAAUACUAGUCACUGGUUUAACUCAUGACCCUCAUUUACACAUUUGAUCUGUAUCUGGAUAUGAAAAAGAGAAUAUUAAUGCAAGUGGAUGAAAAAUGCACGGUGAUCUGAAUGUGGCCAAACCACAUCUCUGCUAGGCCACCCUCGAGGCCGUCUGACUACUUUCUUAGUAAAUUAAUCCACUCAACAAGAUGAAAGGUUACGUAUGCCUUUUACUGUUUAAAUAAAUAAGCCUGGCAAAAGCUACAAGCUCUGGCAGUGGCUAGGAAGUUUUCUUUUGCAAAAAAAAAAAAAAAAUGAUUUGAUGGUGACUGAUGUCCAUCUGCCCUCCACUGGCAUUGCUUUCCUUGACCUGGAAUGAGACACGUGUCUUGGUAAGGAAGCUCUGAACGACUAAUGUGCAACAAGACAUCUGACAACUAUGCAGGCAGGUGAGGGUACUUAUCUAUGCUAGGUACAAAUACAAAGGUCUGUGGACUGGAUGUUAUGACUUUAACCCUCGUGUCGUCCUGCAGCUCAUUUCACCCGUUUUAAAGUUUGAAAAUGGGGGGGGGGGGGACAUUUGCACAGUGAAAAUUUACACAUUUUUGGGAAAUUUUCGAAGAUUUUUGGGGGAAAAAAAUAAAUGUUUUUUUAAGAACAUUCAGAAAAUGUUAAUUUUUUUUUCUGAAUGUUCUUAAAGAAAAUAUUAGAAGUUUUACUGAUCUGUGUCAUCACUUUAGAUAUUUUUAGCAUUUCUUUGGAAGAUAUUUUCUCCUUUUUUUUUUGAAAAUACUUAAGAAUUUUCUUGCCAAAUUUGGGGAAUUUUUUAGAAUAAAACUUUUGAGGGAAACUUUUAAGGAAUUAUUGGAAUUUUCUUCCUGAAGUUUUUGCAAAUUUUCAGAAAUUUGGGGAAUUUUUUGGUGAUUUUUUUUUUAUUUUUUUUUCCCAGACAAGGAAACAAUAUUUAUUUGGUCCCUGUAAAUGAGGACAACAGGAGGGUUAAUAAUACCUAAAUAAAGGUGACAUAAUACCAGGAAUAAAUGGGGCCCAAUGCUUAACCUGUUAAACCACAGUCACCAUGUGAGCAAAGAUCAUUACAAAGAUGAAGAAAAAAAUCAUUUUUGUGUCUGUAUUAUCGCUUAGCUAUUUGGAACACCUCAGUUUACCGUUUGAGGCAGAGCGGCACAUUAGCAUUUAAAACUAGCAUCCAAUUAGCCUUGAUAAAUGGAUCCAUAUUC